rnacentral:lncRNA from 1 species
AGAUAGCCUAGUUAUUUGCAUCAUAAGUACAUCUUAAGCCAAGCAAAUCCUUUAUAUAAGAGGAAAGUAUUCAUUUGAAAAACCCCCCAAAAAUAAAAUAAAAUUGCCUAAGAUGGUGAUUCAGUAUCAUAGGUAACAGUAAAAAUAUAGAAUUUACGAGACAGUAGAAUACUGUGCAUUUUCUAACUGGAAGAUAAUUAAGAACAGGUUUCUUCAGAGACAAACAUUUCCUUUAAAUCUUGUAAAGAAAAACAAACAAGCAAACAAACAACUAUUAGCAAAUGGAUAGGAGGGAAGUUAAUUAAGGUAGCCAUUAAAAUCCUAAAUUUUAAAUGCUAUCUCAGAAUUACUUUGUGAGGAAAUUAGUUGAUUACUUAGCAGUGGUGAUGCCUAAGCACUGUGAGGCACUA